rnacentral:rRNA from 1 species
UUGAACGCUGGCGGCAGGCCUAACACAUGCAAGUCGAACGGUAACAGAAAGCAGCUUGCUGCUUUGCUGACGAGUGGCGGACGGGUGAGUAAUGUCUGGGAAACUGCCUGAUGGAGGGGGAUAACUACUGGAAACGGUAGCUAAUACCGCAUAACGUCGCAAGACCAAAGAGGGGGACCUUCGGGCCUCUUGCCAUCGGAUGUGCCCAGAUGGGAUUAGCUAGUAGGUGGGGUAACGGCCCACCUAGGCGACGAUCCCUAGCUGGUCUGAGAGGAUGACCAGCCACACUGGAACUGAGACACGGUCCAGACUCCUACGGGAGGCAGCAGUGGGGAAUAUUGCACAAUGGGCGCAAGCCUGAUGCAGCCAUGCCGCGUGUAUGAAGAAGGCCUUCGGGUUGUAAAGUACUUUCAGCGGGGAGGAAGGGAGUAAAGUUAAUACCUUUGCUCAUUGACGUUACCCGCAGAAGAAGCACCGGCUAACUCCGUG